AACGAACGCUGGCGGCAUGCCUAACACAUGCAAGUCGAACGAGACCUUCGGGUCUAGUGGCGCACGGGUGCGUAACGCGUGGGAACCUGCCCUUAGGUUCGGAAUACCUCCCCGAAAGGGGUGCUAAUACCGGAUAAUGUCUUCGGACCAAAGAUUUAUCGCCUUUGGAUGGGCCCGCGUUGGAUUAGCUAGUUGGUAGGGUAAAAGCCUACCAAGGCGACGAUCCAUAGCUGGUCUGAGAGGAUGAUCAGCCACACUGGGACUGAGACACGGCCCAGACUCCUACGGGAGGCAGCAGUGGGGAAUAUUGGACAAUGGGCGAAAGCCUGAUCCAGCAAUGCCGCGUGAGUGAUGAAGGCCUUAGGGUUGUAAAGCUCUUUUACCCGGGAUGAUAAUGACAGUACCGGGAGAAUAGGCUCCGGCUAACUCCGUG
rnacentral:rRNA from 1 species